rnacentral:rRNA from 1 species
CCCUAUGGGGUGCAGCAGACAACAUUACUGCUACCGGCAAUUGUACUUUUAACGCAGCCGGUUACAUUGGAACCGUUGCUGAUCCUUUUGAAGUCAACAUCAAUGGAGGCACGCUUACCGUCAAUGCGCUUGGCCAAUCAGGCGGCAUAUCAAGCAAUAUUAACGGUGCCAUUGUUCCAGCGGGCAGGUAUUCUUACAAUGCAACCGCUCCUGGUGAUGUCUUUUUUAAUGGAAUAGAGCUUAAGGCGUAUGAUGCUGUUGUUGCUGCAGAAGCUGUUGCAGCCGCAAGGCAUGCAUAUAUUGAUUCUAUUAACAUUUGGGAUAAAGAAAAACCUCUCCAUGGUAACGAUCAAGAUCCGACUAUUCAACGGGAGAGC